rnacentral:tRNA from 2 species
GGGCGGGUGGCGAAAUGGUAGACGCGCAGCCUUUAGGAGGCUGUGGGGAAACCCGUGGAGGUUCAAAUCCUCUCCCGCCCACCA